rnacentral:rRNA from 1 species
UACAGAGGUCUCAAGCGUUGUUCGGAUUCAUUGGGCGUAAAGGGUGCGUAGGCGGCGCGGUAAGUCGGGUGUGAAAUCUUGGAGCUUAACUCCGAAACUGCAUUCGAUACUGCCGUGCUUGAGGACUGGAGAGGAGACUGGAAUUUACGGUGUAGCGGUGAAAUGCGUAGAUAUCGUAAGGAAGACCAGUGGCGAAGGCGGGUCUCUGGGCCGAUACUGACGCUGAGGAGCGAAAGCGUGGGGGAGCGAACAGG